GACGAACGCUGGCGGCGUGCUUAACACAUGCAAGUCGAACGGAAAGGCCCUGCUUUUGUGGGGUGCUCGAGUGGCGAACGGGUGAGUAACACGUGAGUAACCUGCCCUUGACUUUGGGAUAACCUCAGGAAACUGGGGCUAAUACCGGAUAGGAGCUCCUGCUGCAUGGUGGUGGUUGGAAAGUUUCGGCGGUUGGGGAUGGACUCGCGGCUUAUCAGCUUGUUGGUGGGGUAGUGGCUUACCACGGCUUUGACGGGUAGCCGGCCUGAGAGGGUGACCGGCCACAAUGGGACUGAGACACGGCCCAGACUCCUACGGGAGGCAGCAGUGGGGAAUAUUGCACAAUGGGCGGAAGCCUGAUGCAGCGACGCCGCGUGCGGGAUGACGGCCUUCGGGUUGUAAACCGCUUUCGCCUGUGACGAAGCGUGAGUGACGGUAACGGGUAAAGAAGCACCGGCUAACUACGUG
rnacentral:rRNA from 1 species